UACGUAGGGCGCGAGCGUUGUCCGGAUUUAUUGGGCGUAAAGAGCGUGUAGGCGGCUUGUCAGGUCUGCUGUGAAAACUCGAGGCUCAACCUCGAGAUGUCGGCGGAAACCGACUGGCUAGAGUCCGGAAGAGGAGAGUGGAAUUCCUGGUGUAGCGGUGAAAUGCGCAGAUAUCAGGAAGAACACCUAUGGCGAAGGCAGCUCUCUGGGACGGUACUGACGCUGAGGCGCGAAAGCGUGGGGAGCGAACAGG
rnacentral:rRNA from 1 species